UACGUAGGGUGCGAGCGUUGUUCGGAAUUACUGGGCGUAAAGCGCACGUAGGCGGAUUUGUAAGUCAGGGGUGAAAUCCCGGGGCUCAACCUCGGAACUGCCUUUGAUACUGCAAAUCUCGAGUCCGGAAGAGGUGAGUGGAAUUCCUAGUGUAGAGGUGAAAUUCGUAGAUAUUAGGAAGAACACCAGUGGCGAAGGCGGCUCACUGGCCCGGUACUGACGCUGAGGCGCGAAAGCGUGGGGAGCAAACAGG
rnacentral:rRNA from 1 species